GGGCGCCGAGCGGCGGAGCCGGCGGGAAGGCCCCUCGCUCCUACGCCUGGCGCGAGCGGGCGGCGGCGGCGGCGCCGCGGCCCCAGGCCUGUCCCGAGACCCGGCGCGGCCAGUUCCUGGGACGGGACCCCUGCGGGGAGGAGGACGGGAGGAGGCCCCGCGGCGAGCCCGGAGGCCCAGCGGCCUGGGCCGCGUCACCGCAGCCACAUGGCCUCCGGAGUGGGCGCGGCCUUCGAGGAGCUGCCGCACGACGGCACGUGUGACGAGUGCGAGCCAGACGAGGCCCCCGGGGCCGAGGAAGUGUGCCGAGAGUGCGCCUUCUGCUACUGCCACCGCCACGCCGAGGCGCACAGGCAGAAGUUCCCCAGCCACCACCUGGCCCAGUACGUCCACGGCGCCGCCCCGGCCUGGACCGCGGACGCCCCCGCGCAGGGCGACGCGAAGGAAGAUGCCCAGGCCAAGGUGGAGAAUGAGAGGGAUGUAGAGAGCGAGGUGGGGGAGGAGAGCGAGUCCGAGGAAGACAGUGAAUCCGAAGAAGAGAGCGAGACGGAGGAAGAGAGUGAGGAUGAGAGCGAUGAAGACAGUGAAGACGACAGUGAGGAAGAGAUGGAGGAUGAGCAAGAGAGCGAAGCAGAGGAAGACAACCAAGAAGGAGAAUCUGAGGCCGAGGGAGAAACGGAGGCAGAAAGCGAAUUUGACCCAGAAAUAGAAAUGGAAGCGGAGAGAGUGGCCAAGAGGAAGUGUCCGGACCAUGGGCUCGAUUUGAGCACCUAUUGCCAGGAAGAUAAGCAGCUUAUCUGUGUCCUGUGUCCGGUCAUUGGGACUCACCAGGGCCACCAGCUCUCCACUCUAGAUGAAGCCUUCGAGGAACUAAGAAGCAAAGACUCUGGCGGACUGAAGGCGGCUAUGAUCGAGUUGGUGGAAAGGUUAAAGUUCAAGAGCUCAGAUCCUAAAGUAACCCGGGACCAGAUGAAGGUGUUUAUACAGCAGGAAUUUAAGAAAGUUCAGAAAGUGAUUGCUGAUGAGGAGCAGAAGGCCCUUCAUCUAGUGGACAUCCAGGAAGCAAUGGCUACCGCUCAUGUGACUGAGAUACUGGCAGACAUCCAGUCCCACAUGGAUAGGUUGAUGACUCAGAUGGCCCAAGCCAAGGAACAACAUGAUACCUCUAAUGAAUCAGCUGAGCCAAAGGCGGAGGGUGACGAGGAAGGACCCAGGGGGUAGAGCGGAAAUCGGCUGAAACCUUGAAAGGAGCAUCCUAAUUAAAAGGGUGAGAGGUGGAUGCCUCUCACCUCAGGACAGACAGGAUUGAAACUGAAACCAGUGUCUGACCCAGAGACAUCCUGCCCUAAGUCCCCGGGACGGUGUCUUGGUGGCGGGCCCUUUGGCACGACUGUUGGCUGGAGCCCACAAGAACGGAGCGGUGCCAGUGAAGACGAGGACACAUGAAGGCUUGCUGUCCCCAGUGGAAACUCCUCCCUCCCCCUGUGUGUAUGUGACGGCGUGUAUGUAACGGCUUCUGAUUUCUGUGAAAGCUGCCCAGCAACAAACGUCCUUCCACCGGAUCCAUCCCCAGGUCCACAGCAGGCACACAUCUGUCCAAGGGAUGACCAACUUUAUUGUCACUGACUGUGCUUGUCAUUCUCUUGUCAUGGUAGGUCAAGGGAAAGUGCCCCUGUGAUCAACCAGGAGCAGUUAAUGAAGAAGCGUCCUUCAGGUAGUCCCUCAAUGGCUGCUCUGAACUUACUCAGGAAAGCCAGCCCUUGGAAUAUCGUAUACCCAGACAGCAUCGCUUCAUCUGGAAGGAUCUGGAAUAAUCUUGAAGGGCAGUCAGAACUUUUUCCCUACCUGCGAAUAAAACCCCACUUUAUUUAUACUGAAGCAUGAAAUAAUGGGGGAGGGGCAAAGUAGGGCUCUGUAGAUAGUUUCUGAAAGUCCCAUUAUACAGUUGUGAAAAUGUGGUUCCAUGAAGUAAGAUGGGUGGCCUGAAGAUGGGGUUGGAGAAAGAGUUAAAAGUUUGAAAUACAGAGAUAUUUUUAGUAUAUGAGGUUAUCCAGCACUUCAGAUCCAUAAUUCAGUGCUGUGGAAAUGAAAAAAAUGAUUGAAGAGGUGGAAAGGAAAUGACUUUAAAAAAAAAAAAAAAAAGGACCAAAGAGAUCUGAUUAAAAGUUGAAAUCAGUAUUUCCGAACUCAAAUUGCCUGAGUUUCCAAAAUAGUCACUAAAGGAUCUGAUGGAGCCUGAGUUAUUUGGGUGAAUUCUGCCAGUUUUCUGGGUCUUGUCACAACAUGAAGUCUGCAGUGUAUAUUGCAAAGUGGGAAUUUUUCAGUGUGGGUUUUUGGUGCCCUCGCCCCAACCCCCUUGGCCUCAUUUGGCUUAAAUGCAGUGUAGGGAGAGUUCUUAUCGCUCUGGUGUGCUGAGUCAAGCCCCGUCUCCCAGCAGGUGCACCCACCUUUCACUCCAGCUGGAACCCCUCUUCCCAUGGCACCCCACCCACCGGCCUUCGGACCCUCUCCUGCAGCCAGGCUCUCCCCUCUCGAGUACCAUGAGCAGAGGCACACCGUGGUUGUACUUCCAGCCCUUCCCCACUCCCGAGUCACAUUUCCUUACCGUCAGGUUUUCUAUUCCCAAGUAAGCCAUGAUCUCUAGGGAGUGCAAACCCGCAAGCGAAAGAACCUGCAUUUUCUCAGACAUCAGUUUAUGGUUUGGAGUUAGGGGAUGCCCUUACUUUUAGAUAAAACAGUUAAUUAUGAAAUAGAAUGUUCGUACACGCAGUUAAGAUAAAAUGGGACGCUUCCCAGGGAAUUCUUAUUUGCGAGUGGGGUGUAUGCCUUCCCUGUCCUCUGCCUUUAGCGGUAUUUUGGUGUUCACUCCCGAGAAGUACAACCGGAACCGUAUCCACGCAGCUGACUCAGGGCCUCGACUUCUAGUUGCCUCCGCAGCAGAGCUGAAGGCAUCUGCCCUGGAGAAAUCCCUCUCCUCCUGCCUGCCUGUGACCUAUGUACCUAUCACAGAGCUUUAGGGCCAGCUGGUUUCGGGGGGGGGGGGGGAGGUUUUGAGGCUGAAGCAAUACUUACUGUAGGAAGCCUAUUUAUGUCAUCGUCCAAUCCUGUGUUUGCUAUGAAACUAUUUCUUUGAGGCCAGGAAGCUACUGGGCAUAUCUGCUUCUGGGUUAGGAUUACCCUGACUCACUACAUAUGUUAGGAUGUUGGGACCAAGAGUUCUUUGGGCAGUUAAAAAAAAAAAAUAACAUAUAUAUAUAUUUUUUUUCUCUCAAACUGGUGGUCAACAAAUGGCUAAGACAGUUUUGGUGCUUUCCCUAUCUGCCUGCAAAGACUGGAGAAUUUGGCAUACCACUAAUGACAACCCCCAGCCUCACCCAACAGAACUCCCCAAAAAGGACCAGGGGCCACUCUUACAAGAGUUUAAACACCAACAGAUUAAGAACACCUGAGGAUUUGGAUGCUUGUGUUCGUCUUUCCCCAAUAAUUAUUGUUGAAUCUCCCAAGUAGUAGCCUUAUCUUAGCAAUGGACAGACCAUUGGCUCCUCCAUACCUGAUUAUAUGUUAUUACUUAAAGUCAGUUUCUGGGAAACUCGAGCAUGUAUGCGGUAGAUACGAACAGAAGUAUAAAAAUACAUGCCAGCCUAUCUCCGUAUGUUAUCAUAUCUCUGUAAUCCUCAAGGAAAGCACUUUUGCUUUUACUUAGGAUUUCAGAUUUGCUCGAUGGGCUCCUGCUGUCUUCAGCACCUGAUAAAACUUUAACCAGGGAAGCAUUAAACAUGGUGCAACAGCUUCUGCCCAGGCUCCUGAGUUCCUGCCAGCAGCAUUUAUCAAUGUAAGAACGAGGAUGCUUCCUGCAGUGGCACCAGCCCCCCCCCCCCGGAGCCAGAGCGUGCUGCUCAGACUCAAGCCCCAGCAGGAUGAGGCCUUACUGCCAGGUCAGUAACAGAGUGCUCGAAAGUGUGUGCUGACCGACUGCAGGCUGUGGGGGGAGGGGUGGGUGUUGCAGAAAUCCCCGGGGAGAAGUCACCGAGGGAGGCAGGUCACGAGUGUGUCCAGAACGAAUUGGGUCCCCACAGCGAUCCCUGGCUGCUUUCCAAAGUUUGGUUCUCUGGAGGCUGAGAGUGGGUUUGUCCUUUGAUUUGAUAUCAUUGAAUCCAGGGCGAUUCUAAGAAGUCCUUAGAGUCUCAGCUGUGGGGGGAGAAAUGACCUAUAUUGAGGACCAGCUGUGAGCCAGGCCCUGCCCUCGGCCCCAGUUUCUCAGCUGAUAAAACGGAUGUGGAGUGGAAGACCCCGUUGCCCUGAGUUACACAGCUAGAAGUAUUGGCGCCAGAUUUUGAGCCCAGCUCUCCCUCACUUUGUGGUGGUCUGUGGCACAUCGACGACACGGAGGAGGAGGCCUCAGACCCCCCCCCCCCCACUGCAAUCCGACCAUCCCACUUUAUGGAUUCUUUUCCAAAAUUACAUUUCAUGGCUAUCCUUUGGGCUCAGAAAUGGCAUCGAGGUAGCCUCAUUCUGCCACUGUAGCAGAUACGUGAAGUCCACAUUGCUAACUUGAGCCUGCCCCCAGGAGCUGGGGGAGCCUUUCCUUUUGGGCGCCAUCCCCCAGAAAUGAGAGUUUUUCUAGGCCUUCAAGAGUACAGAAGUUCUUAGAAAUGGUCCAAGUGAAGAGGGUUCUGCUAAGUUUAUUUGAAAACGUGUGCUGCUGCACUGCCACAGAGAAGGCAGUCUUCCUAUUUUAGCCCAGCCUGUCCUGUGCUCUUUGACGAUGUGUUAACUCAAAGUUCGGUGAAUCUAGACUUUCCUGCUGAUACCUGCUAUGGACAUGUGUACACACACACACACACACACACACACACACACACACUGAGUACAUAUGUAUAUGUAAAUGACAAGGGUACAUGCAUAGACCCUCACACACACAUAGUGGAGGAACUCAGGGGAGACCGGGGCGGCCCCCCUCCUGAUCUUGUGUACCACAGCACCACCGCGGGGGCUUCUGCCAGCCCCGAUCACAAGUGUCACCACAUAGUGGGAGCUCAGGAGCUUGCUUACAAGGUGCUCACGAGAAGAACAGCUCCUUGGCAGAGGUUGUCGGCCCCUAAAGCACAGGGCCAAGGUGGGCUCCAGCCCUGCUCCGAGAUGUCUAACGAUAUGGGAAACGAUAGCCCAGCCAUUUUGAGGACCCAGGAGUCUGCCCACUCCAGUCAGGACUGAGGGCACAGCUACAGAGUUUGUGACUUGUGCUGGUGGCAGGGUAUAGGAAGUCCUCCCCUCCCCCCACCUAGAAAGUGUUCUCUUGCCAACACCUGAAGUUUCAUAUGCACAUAAUGGCUGUUUAGUACAUGCUUCGUAAUCAGAAAAUCGGUUGCAUGUUUGCUGUGUGCCUAGCCCAUCUGGACUUCCGUUGAAAACACAAAUCUCUUUAGGGAUGACACAGCCCAGACUUAAGAGAGAGAGAAGAGACUCGAGAUCUCAUUAAUAUGGCCUACACCCAGCAGUGCUCUGAAGCCCCCACCCAGCCCAUUCCCAGACUCAGGCCCAGGGGGCCUGCCUGGUGGAAGAGUAGCAUUUGGAACUGAACACACACCAGAAGCAGCACAAGGAGUGCCGGGGCAGGAAAAUGAAAACAAAUUGAGACACUUGUGCCUAUAAAGGUGCAAAGCAUGCCACAGAGCCCAUGCUGGGGUUGAUAGGACCUUGAGGGGACAGUGGACUUAUAUUAACAGGAAUCAAACCUGACCAGUCUUUGUACAGUGACAGGCCAUACUGCAUGGGUGGGGACAAGCAACGAAUCCGUUGUCCUCUGCCUGUUUUCCUGUGCACAGUCACAUUCCCUCCUUACCUUCUCCUUCCACCCUUCACGUUAAACAAGGGAACACUCGCUCUUCCAAGGGAAUUACACAUUUGAGUUAAUGUUUCAGUAUAUCAUUUUCAUACUGUAAAUUAUUUUGUAAGAGAGAUUUACCGCUAUCCCAGGAUGUUUGGACUCAGCGCCCCUGUGCAUUUGGAAAUCAAUAAACUAUUACUGGAAAUACCA